AACGAACGCUGGCGGCAGGCCUAACACAUGCAAGUUGAGCGCCCUAGCAAUAGGGAGCAGCGCACGGGUGCGUAACGCGUGGGAAUAUGCCCUUGGGUGCGGAACAACGUCGGGAAACUGACGCUAAUACCGCAUAAUGACUCCGGUCCAAAGAUUUAUCGCCCAAGGAGUAGCCCGCGUUAGAUUAGGUAGUUGGUGAGGUAACGGCUCACCAAGCCUACGAUCUAUAGCUGGUCUGAGAGGAUGAUCAGCCACACUGGGACUGAGACACGGCCCAGACUCCUACGGGAGGCAGCAGUGAGGAAUAUUGGACAAUGGAGGAAACCCUGAUCCAGCCAUGCCGCGUGAGUGAAGGAGGCCUUCGGGUUGUAAAGCUCUUUCAGAUGUAAAGAUAAUGACGGUAGCAUCAGAAGAAGCCCCGGCUAAAUUCGUGCCAGCCGCCGCCGUAA
rnacentral:rRNA from 1 species